GGGCACUCUGGUGGGCAGCAGGGGGUACACCAGCCAGCACAUCUGUCUCUCCAGUUCUGGUCGGGACUGGAAGGUCUUUGCACGCCACAGUGUCAGCAUGGCGGCUUUAAUGCCUGUGUGUCCGGUGGCACCCCUCCCACUGAGGUGGGAGUGAGGUCGCUGUCCCCUUCCCCAGAACCCAGCCCACCUCGAGGGCUGGAGUCCGUUCUUCCUGACCCAACGCGCACCCAGUGCUACCACCUUGUGCCUCUGCGCCGACACACUAGCCCACGGCGGCUGCCCCGGGGGCCCGGUCAGCCGUCGCCACCGUCACCGCCAUCGCAGCCUGGCCACGGCCCACAUCCCCAAACCCCUGAAAUCAGGACGUGCUCUGGCUCUCCGAAGACGCGAGUCUCGGGCCCGUUUGUCCCACAGCCACGGCCUCCGUGGACACCCCGUGCCCCCUCCUGCCUGGACCCGGAGACCGGGCGCUCCCCUGGACGCUGGUGGCCGUGGCCACUUCGUGCCCCCCUGCUGUCCCGCUCCCCCGCGCAGCCGACGGCCGGCACCUCUUUGCCGCGAGCCCUUCAAUUCUCCCUGCUUCCAAAGGCGUGGCUGGUGCCCCGGCGGCUCGCGAGGUUAAAACAAAAUCGAGAAAAUCGGGCAACUCGAGUACAAAUGUGGGGAAGCAAAACAAACACGCGAGGAGCCUGAAGGGCAGUGGACGGACGUUGGGGCCGAGUUAACAUUUAACUGAUGUCUCAGCAGCUAAGGAGUCUUUAAAGUGCCGGCUGGUAAUUAAAAGAAAAAAGGAAAGAAAAGGCAGGGCUGUUCUCCAGGAGAGACAAGGUAUUUUCCUGGCACUUGCAUCCAGGAAAAUUAAGUAUUUGAACAUCAGGCACAGGAAAGAACGUAGCAUCUAAUGGUUCCCACAGCGCUGCUAUUUUAAAGAAGCAAGUCCUUUUCACGUGGUAGCUUUCAGUGCCCUUGCGUGAGCGAGCCUUGGGCAGGAUGGGCUGUCUUCCUCUGGGGCCCGUAUCUGCUGGCAGCCGG
rnacentral:lncRNA from 1 species